rnacentral:tRNA from 1 species
GGAAAGAUGGCUUAGUGGUAGAGUGCUUGCCUAGCAUGCAUGAAGCCCUGGGUUCAAUUCCUCAGUACCA